rnacentral:rRNA from 1 species
UACGGGGGGGGCAAGCGUUGUUCGGAAUUACUGGGCGUAAAGGGCUUGUAGGUGGCCAACUAAGUCAGACGUGAAAUCCCUCAGCUUAACUGGGGAACUGCGUCUGAUACUGGAUGGCUUGAGUUUGGGAGAGGGAUGCGGAAUUCCAGGUGUAGCGGUGAAAUGCGUAGAUAUCGUAAGGAAGACCAGUGGCGAAGGCGGGUCUCUGGACAGUUCCUGACGCUGAGGCGCGAAGGCCAGGGGAGCAAACGGG